CCCACACGGGGAAGUGUGUCCACCUACAAAUCAUUCCCAUCUGCCCAGCGGAGAAAAGGAACAAGGAAAGGGGAAAGAAAGCCGUCCAAAUCUUCGGUGUUGCCAUCUCCCUCCUCGCGCGUGCUGUUUUCCUCCCUCGUCCUCUCGCUUCCCACCUCCUCUGCUUGGCUUUCUUUGCUUCUCCUCCCCUUCGCUUCCGCCACUCGGCUUCCCCCUUCGUUCUUCCUUGACGAUUUCUGUCAUCUUAAUUUUUUGACCUUUCUGCCAUUGAAGAUUUGAUUACCGCUGAAAGAACGGAUUUUGAUGACGAAAUCUCAGGGUUCGGGAAUGGGGAGGUACGCGAGGAAGGCCAAGAUCGACGGAAAGGCGGCGGUCACGGAGGCUGUUCACCAUCAACCCUCGCUCGGGGUUCACACCAGGGCCAAAACCCUGGCACUCAAGCGCCUCCAGGAGACGUCACCGGACACCGCGUCCUGCUACCUCCAGCUCCGAAGCCGCUGUCUCGAGAAGCACCUCCCCGUCCCCUCUUCCGCUAGGUCCAGGGCAGCUACCAGGAACAGGCCGAACGCUGACCCUAACCCUAAUUCUCACGCUAGCCCUAGCCGUAGCCCUAAUCACGUGAACCAGGCGGCCGGUGCGGCAGAGAGUCCGGUGAAUUCGGACUCCGUGGGGUCCGUACCAACAAAGAGUCGCUGUUUCACGAAGACAAAGGCCACGGCGUUGGCUGUUCGGGAGGUGUCGCCGGAGGUCGAUCCCGCGGAGACGGAAGGUUCCUUCGGGGAGAAUGUUCUCGACCUCGACGCCUCCAGAUUUUAAAAGAUUUUCUUGCACUUUCUCCCUUCUUUUGAAACUUCACCGUUGUGAAAUCUCAUCCACUGGUGCACCAUUUCAUCUCAAGAGCAUAAUGUUUGUUUUUGGAGUUACUGAAAUCUCAGGACUGCGAGAGAACCCACACCUUGUGAUCUGAUAAGGGACUCAGAAACCGUUGGAACACCUGGUUCAACGACUCGGCGGACCGCAAGCAAGAGGCAGGCAGCAACUCCCAGUAGUAUACCAACGAACCUUGAAAUGGAGGAGCUUUUUGCUGGCCCCGAACAACUUCAACAGAGAAGUUUUGUAGAAAGGUACAACUUCGAUGUGGUGAAAGAUCAACCGCUCCCUGGCCGCUAUGAAUGGGUAAAAUUGGAUUCUUAGAUGUUCUCCAAUCACGCAAACUCACCGGUGACCUCUGCCCGAGAUUUUCCGACGAGGGUGGUCUCGUCUGCGGUGGUGGCGUGUCCCACCCUUCCUUCCGUAAGAUACAAUCUUCACCAAGAUUAGUGUUUAUUCUCUAACAGCUAGUGGCUGAUCAAAGGUCAUCAAUUUGUAGCUAUUCAAAUCGAUCGGAUCUGGGUGUCUCUUCUGUGGUUCGUGGGGGAGAUAGGUGGUUGUACCUUGGUUUGUAUCUUUAUGUAGACAAGUACUGGUGAAACUGAUCGCUCUGUGUGAAUAAACAUAGACCUGACCCCAUCUCCCCAUUGCCUUUCUGUCUCGGUAACAUUUCUGCUGCCGAGACUGGACUUGUUUGUCAUUGCCUCUGUUUCUCUUCGGUGAUCAACUCCCAAGUUCUGCUCAGGGUUUCACUGCGGUGUGGUAAUUGCUUUCUGCUGCGUGUGGUACGGACAUGUGAACAAUGUCAGUGAUGGCAAGACGUAGUCGGUCCUUUGUUUCCUAUUCUACUGUGGUAACUCCUGCGCCGGUUGGUCGCGUAGUUAAUCCACUGCAGCAGCAUAAACUAGUACGUGCUGCAUGCGCAUGAAAGAACGUUGUUUACUGGCUUUGUGA